CAGCAGCCGCGGUAAUACGGAGGGGGCUAGCGUUGUUCGGAAUUACUGGGCGUAAAGCGCACGUAGGCGGCUCGGUAAGUUAGAGGUGAAAGCCUGGAGCUCAACUCCAGAAUUGCCUUUAAGACUGCCGAGCUAGCAGGUGAGAGAGGUAAGUGGAAUUCCGAGUGUAGAGGUGAAAUUCGUAGAUAUUCGGAAGAACACCAGUGGCGAAGGCGGCUUACUGGCUCAUACUGGACGCUGAGGUGCGAAAGCGUGGGGAGCAAACAGGAUUAGAUACCCCUGUAGUCCCUGUCUCUUAUAC
rnacentral:rRNA from 1 species